rnacentral:rRNA from 1 species
UUAGCCUACGGGGGGCAGCAGUGGGGAAUAUUGGGCAAUGGGCGCAAGCCUGACCCAGCAACGCCGCGUGAAGGAAGAAGGCCCUCGGGUUGUAAACUUCUUUUGUCAGGGACGAAGCAAGUGACGGUACCUGACGAAUAAGCCACGGCUAACUACGUGCCAGCAGCCGCGGUAAUACGUAGGUGGCAAGCGUUAUCCGGAUUUACUGGGUGUAAAGGGAGCGUAGGCGGCAAGGUAAGCCAGAAGUGAAAGCCCGCGGCUCAACUGCGGGACUGCUUUUGGAACUAUCUAGCUAGAUUGCAGGA